GUGGGGAAUAUUGGGCAAUGGGCGAAAGCCUGACCCAGCAACGCCGCGUGAAGGAAGAAGGUUUUCGGAUCGUAAACUUCUAUCCUUGGUGAAGAUAAUGACGGUAGCCAAGAAGGAAGCCCCGGCUAACUACGUGCCAGCAGCCGCGGUAAUACGUAGGGGGCAAGCGUUGUCCGGAAUGAUUGGGCGUAAAGGGCGCGUAGGCGGCCUGGUAAGUCUGGAGUGAAAGUCCUGCUUUUAAGGUGGGAAUUGCUUUGGAUACUGUCGGGCUUGAGUGCAGUAGAGGUAAGGGGAAGUCCCGGUGUAGCGGUGAAAUGCGUAGAGAUCGGGAGGAACACCAGUGGCGAAGGCGACUUACUGGACUGUAACUGACGCUGAGGCGCGAAAGUGUGGGGAGCAAACAGGAUUAGAAACCCUGGUAGUCC
rnacentral:rRNA from 1 species